rnacentral:rRNA from 1 species
UACGUGAGUGGCAAGCGUUAUCCGGAAUCAUUGGGCGUAAAGCGUCCGUAGGGGGAUAUUCAAGUGAAAUGUUAAAUCCUUCGACCUAAUCGAAGCCAUGCAUUUCAUACUGUUUAUCUAGAAGAUAGGAGAGGUAAAUAGAAUUUCCGGAGUAGGGGUAAUAUCCGUAGAGACCGGAAGGAAUACCAAUAGCGAAGGCAAUUUACUGGCCUAUUCUUGACCCUGAAGUGACGAAAGCGUGGGGAGCAAACAGG